UACGGGGGGGGCAAGCGUUGUUCGGAAUUACUGGGCGUAAAGGGCGCGUAGGCGGCCUUCUAAGUCAGACGUGAAAUCCCUCGGCUCAACCGAGGAACUGCGUCUGAUACUGGAAGGCUUGAAUCCGGGAGAGGGAUGUGGAAUUCCAGGUGUAGCGGUGAAAUGCGUAGAUAUCAGGAGGAACACCCGUGGCGAAAGCGGCUCUCUGGGACGGUACUGACGCUGAGACGCGAAAGCGUGGGGAGCAAACAGG
rnacentral:rRNA from 1 species